rnacentral:rRNA from 1 species
GAUAAACGCUGGCGGCGCACAUAAGACAUGCAAGUCGAACGGAAGUCGUUAUAAAAUGGAAUGAAGAUUUAUCUGAGUGAAAUUUUGUAACAAUGGCUUUAGUGGCGGACUGGUGAGUAACACGUAAGCAAUCUACCUAUUAGAGGGGAAUAACAAUGAGAAAUCAUUGCUAAUACCGCAUAAGCUUGUAGUAUCGCAUGGUACAGCAAGAAAAGGAGAAAUCCGCUAAUAGAUGAGCUUGCGGCUGAUUAGAUAGUUGGUGGGGUAACGGCUUACCAAGUCGACGAUCAGUAGCCGGACUGAGAGGUUGAACGGCCACAUUGGGACUGAGAUACGGCCCAGACUCCUACGGGAGGCAGCAGUCGGGAAUAUUGCGCAAUGGAGGAAACUCUGACGCAGUGACGCCGCGUGCAGGAAGAAGGUUUUCGGAUUGUAAACUGCUUUAGACAGGGAAGAAACAAGACAGUACCUGUAGAAU